rnacentral:rRNA from 1 species
CUAGGAUGAACGCUAGCGGCAGGCUAACACAUGCAAGUCGAGGGGCAGCGGGAUGUAGCAAUACAUUGCCGGCGACCGGCGGAUGGGUGCGUAACGCGUAUGCAACCUACCUUAUACAGGGGAAUAACCUUUCGAAAGGGAGACUAACACCCCAUAGUAUUGAUUUAAGGCAUCUUAGAUUAAUUAAAUAUUUAUAGGUAUAAGAUGGGCAUGCGUAUGAUUAGCUAGUUGGUAAGGUAACGGCUUACCAAGGCGACGAUCAUUAGGGGUUCUGAGAGGAAGGUCCCCCACACUGGUACUGAGACACGGACCAGACUCCUACGGGAGGCAGCAGUGAGGAAUAUUGGUCAAUGGGCGCAAGCCUGAACCAGCCAUGCCGCGUGCCAGGAAGACGGCCUUAUGGGUUGUAAACUGCUUUUACAUAAGACUAACCGUAUAUUUGCGAAUAUACCUGAAUGUAUUAUGAGAAUAAGGAUCGGCUAACUCCGUGCCAGCAGCCGC